AGUGAACGCUGGCGGUAGGCCUAACACAUGCAAGUCGAACGGCAGCACAGUAAGAGCUUGCUCUUACGGGUGGCGAGUGGCGGACGGGUGAGGAAUACAUCGGAAUCUACUUUUUCGUGGGGGAUAACGUAGGGAAACUUACGCUAAUACCGCAUACGACCUACGGGUGAAAGCAGGGGAUCUUCGGACCUUGCGCGAUUGAAUGAGCCGAUGUCGGAUUAGCUAGUUGGCGGGGUAAAGGCCCACCAAGGCGACGAUCCGUAGCUGGUCUGAGGGGAUGGACACACAGAUUGUAAGAGAGGAAGGUCCGAGACACUGGCGGUGGGACGCAGUGCAGAAUCUUACGGAAUGGGGGAGAGCGGGAUCUAGGAAUAUCGGGGGGGUGCUGAAGCAGUUAGGCUGGGAAAGUCAUGUAGGUGGGAAAGAAAAAAAGCAGGUUAACACGGCGUUGUAAUGACGGUACCGAAAGAAUAAGCACCGGCUAACUCCGUG
rnacentral:rRNA from 1 species